CCCACUUUCCUGAGGGACAGGAGGGACACCCCAUGAAAGCCACAGCGCUUCCUCUUUGUCUGCCGCGCGACACGCGCACACGAGUCACAUUGUCACAGGCAGCAAGACAGCCCCGCACGGUACGUGCAUCUCGGCCGACUUCCUGCCAGACAACCGGACCCAGUCUUUCACAGGAAAUACCCAACUAACAAAUGCUCUGUGUUGGGACUUUCUCUUCAAAACGCCUGGCCUGGUUCAAGGGAAGCAAAAUUUGAAACACCCAUCUCGGUCGGAUACUCGUAAGGAGCCAGGAAGGGCUCACGCUACACCAACAAAUGACAGAGCAGUCAGGGGAAUCCGGGAAGAAAGACGGCUUCUCUUUAAUUUUGCACACAUGAUGUUUUCAACCACUAAGGUCAUACCUGCGUGUGGUGACUGACAACUUUUCAGCUUGAUUCAAAGCAAACAGCUGCUGGUUUGAUUGCCUAGCAACUAAAAAAUGACGGAUGACCCUUAAGAUGGAUAACUACCAUAAAUCACCUCAUUCAAACGCUGCAAGAAAAAAAUUAAAAAACAAUGGUUUUCAUGACAUUUGCUGCACUCCAUAAUGUGCCGUGAUAAAUUUGGGCUCCUUACGGAUGCACAGUGGUGACUGCACAAGUUCCGUCACUUCUGCCGCUGUCGCUGGCCUCCUGGGCGCUGGGGCCCCGGGGCAAGGCGGGCCGUGGGGACGCGCCGCACCGGCGGCCCCGGGCUCCUGAGUUGUGCCGGCCACUCGCCAGGAACCAGCUUCGGCAUCACGAAGAUGGCAGGGACCAUGUGCGCUAAUAAUGGUUACAAUGUAUUUAGUGUAAUGAUUUGACCUCAGCCAACAUUACCAACGCCGUGAUUCAUAGGAAUUUGACGGACUGCCUCCUGUUUGCAGACGUCUCCUGUGUUCCCGGAAGGCCAAGUGUGUGCUCUUAACUUGCAAAUCAGCAGGGGGCCGUCCACCAUGAUCAGACGGACGGGAGGUCCCGGCACAGGGUCCUUUGGAACGUCCGACGUUGGCACAGUCCUGCGUGGGUCUGCCAGGCGAUGUGCAGCGAGGACAGGGACCCCCGAUUUUUCCGGGUGUCACGGCACACCCCUUCCCUAAGGCUCACCGCAGGGACCAGCAUCCUCUAUACUCCUUUGUCCCUUGCUUUCUGUUACAUUGGACUUGGAUUUUCUCCUUCUCAGGUUGUGUCCAUGUUAUCAGAAGGCUGCCUCAAAGAGAAACGUUCCAUGACCAGACUUGGGCUAGCGGUUUGAGAGAGAAAAGGACCCUUGUUCUCUUUCCGACACCCCCCUCACCCAUCCUAGCGGGAGCCAGCUUUCUUGCUGGACACGCUCGGCCGCUGGACAAGCACGAUCAGAGGCGCCGUGCUGGGCUAUGAGCACAGCGGAAGCCACUCAGUCCUGCCCUCACGGAGCUUAGUGUCCUCUGGGACGCAGACGUGGCAGUGAGUGCCUUUACGAACACAGGCGCGUGGUGUCACAGACCCAGUCACAGGGCCCGCGUAGUGUCUGCCUUUACAGUCACCCCAGUAGACCGCGCCGCCUCCGAAAGCGGAGAAGCUUCCAGUGCUAGAAGGAAAGAAUUACUUUUUGCUCAGUAGGCUGCACUACCCCAAGCAACUGUCUAUAUUUAAAAACCCAAAGGGGGCCAGGGUGUUGGCGGGGAAGGGCACACAUUCCAAGUCGCAAGAAACAUCACAGCUGGGGUGGCGCAUGGCGCUCUCGGGCCAGCGGUGGCAGCCCUGUGCGGUCGGUGCGACCUGGCCUCGCUACGGAUGCCUGGUGUCGGGGCCAUGGUCAGGCACCUGCCCGGCCCAGCUCUGACCGCAGCCAGCCCUCCACUCGUGGUUAGGAGCGCAUCUAUCCAAAACCCUGAAACAGAAGGAUGACAUAAAGCAACGAGACAACGAACAAAACGAGUUAAGGGCAAAAGAGCCAGGCCCCCGGUAGCCAGUACCGUGGAGCCAGGAUCCUCAGCACAGGGAACAACUCAGAAUCCACUAGAGAGGAAGGAGGUCGCCCCAGGCUCCCGGGCGUCUGCAAUUAUGCGUGAACUUCUGGGAUCCGCACCCUGAGAAGGAAGAACAAAUUUGCUCCCAAGUCCAGCUCUACGGUUUUCUAAGAACUGAGAUAGGAGAACCAAUCUUUGGAGGGUUCGACGUCUCGUGCACUUUUCCUGUGCGGGAAGCUCCCAUAUUGAAGCAGAACGAGAACCAGUGGUAUUAAUUAGGUCGACUGGGCCGCUUGUAUUGCACACGCGACUACCUUUCGGCAUUUGGAGAUAACCACGCAUUCUCCCCAAAGCUUUGGCUCCCGACACGGCCAAGUCCUGCUUCGUUCCGUCUUCCAUAUCCAUGGGCCGCUCUGUGUAACGCUUAGGAGAGGGGAUCCCGCUUCAAAGAAGUAGUCUUGACUGUUUCCCUGGUAAUGGGCCUGCACAAGAAACGCCCAGACCAGCAGCAAUGUCUGCAGACACGGAACUGAGGACCCACUUAAGUGUUAACUCGUCUUGGAAACAGAAGGGUUCCGGGCCUGCAACCCUCCCUCUCUGAGAUCUGCAGUUCCGAGCAAAUCAACGAGGAGACUGCCUGCAGAAUUAGGCCUCAUAACCAGCCUGACAUCAAAACACAAAGAUGUCGCCAGGGGACGACACUGAUCUGCUCCCUUUUUCUAAAAUAAAUGCUUACAACCGAUUCGAAAUUGACAAGCAAUCCAAGUUCAACACCUGCUGAAGGAAGUGAGGAAAACUUUUCUCCUGCAGGAAAUGACACGCUGCAAGAAAGGAGCUCACGGAACACACCUUCAAAAACUGCAGCUGGCACGUUGAGGCAGAAAUGCCAGUAUUUCAAAAUCUGGAAACGCGCACAGGGUUCGAUACGUGGAUGGCUAACGGUGGCUUUGCUGGACACAGAGAUGGAAGCACAUGGGAAGCGGCCCUGUGACUGGUGGCUUGGAGGGAUUCUACUUGGCUAUUUUCCUGCAGAAUGCGCCGCAAUCACAGAAAAAUCAGGAAAUCCUGUAUUGCAUUUUGCCGAGAAAAUAGAAAUGGUAAAACCUAAAAUAACGUAAUUGGUUCUUGACUUCUCCCCCCCCCCCUUUAAAAACAAGAGACAGAUCCUUGCUCGUGUUGGCGCAGAAUUUCAGAAAGACACAAUGGACAUAGGAAGGGAAAAAAAUGUCUAUCAUCUAAAAAAACUGCUUACUGCUGCAGCAGUGUGGUGGAUGAACAACAAAAGCAAAUCCAGAAACGAGAGACUGCAAAACAUGAAAAGGUUAAGCAAGCAGUUUAGCUAAUAGGCCUUCCUACGAAAUAUGAAGUGAAAAGAACAUCAAAGUUGUGAUUCGACCUUAAUGUUUUGGUUUGAUUUUACUGUGAAACAAUGGAAUCUAUAAACAACUUAACGCUAAUUAAAAUAGAAAUCCAAUCUAGAUAUUCCCAAACCAGAAAAUCCAAGCAGGUGAUUGAAUUCGAGGAAGCACCAAACCAUAACUGAGCUCAAAAACCUCUAGAAAUGAUCUUCUUUUCCUUGCCUGACAAUAACCAUUAAAAAUGGUAACUGGAGGCCUGUUUAUUCCAAUUCUCAGUGCGCAGCUCUGUUGGGUUUUUCCAAGUACAUAAAUUUAACAAUGUAUUUCUCCAGUGAAGUCAAAAUGUAAAAGAGAGUUGGUUCAUCUGCUAAUCUAGACACAAUUCACUAUUUUCUAUGAAUCCUAAGAAAAUAGCACAUAAAAAAAAAACACCUAAUCUUUUUUUUUUUUCAAGUCACUGUCAACUAUCGCUUUAUCCAUACGUAGAGCACAGUGUUUUCAGUGCAGAAGGACCCUGCCUGCCAGCAUAGAUCUACACGCUUCCAUAAGGCUUCUCUAGCAGGAGAUAUCGACAAACUGCAUUUCAAACGUGGCAAAACUCUUUGUGCAGGUUCCUGUGCAAUGUGCACGAGGCCCCUUACUCCUGAGGGUACCAAGGUUUUGCACAUUUCGGCAUGGGUUACGUAAACAGGUGGACAGUAUGGCAUCACAGCAAACGUGGGAUUUGCCACUUCCUCUGUGCGUACGUUACAGGUAUUUCCAUAUAUCUACAGGUAUGUGGGCAAGUCUGUCCUACGCGCCCGUGCGUGGAGGCACUCUGGCAGAUAAGCACUGUCUAGUACAAGGCACACUCACAAUCAUAUGCAAAUAGCCCCGCGUGCGCAGAGAAUGAUCACCCCGUCACCUAUUUCAUUAUUACAAAAAUUGCCAACCACGAGGAUAGGAUCAAAUAUCACCGCUGUUAAAGGGCUUCCGCAUUCCCAAAGAAUACUGGGUUGUUGGGUUUAGUUUUGUUGUUGUUGUUGCUUUUGGUUUGUUUUUUUUUUUUUUUCCAAAAAAGAAGUCUGCAAGAAAGAGUUCAAGAAUUUUUUUUUUUUUUACAUCCAAGGCUGUAUCAAAAAGCAAAGCCUGCGUGGCGAAGACUACAAUUAUCCUAUAGCAAGAAAAGACCCUGAACUACUUACGAUUUAACCUUUACUUCACCUAACUGAUGUCAUAACAAUGGUACUUAGUAUGUCUCAAGGACAAAUGAUCAUGGAAGGCUAUAUACAAUUCAAGGAGUGCUAUCGCUCCAGCAAACUGUUGUCCCCAAAAUUAUAUUCAUUGCUUUUCAAAAUGUUAUCAACUUAAUAAAUAAAUACCUUCC